rnacentral:rRNA from 1 species
AAUCAACGCUGGCGGCGCGCUUAACACAUGCAAGUCGCACGAGAAAGGGGGCAACCCUGAGUAAAGUGGCGUACGGGUGAGUAACACGUGGAUCAUCUACCUUUUAGUGGGGAAUACCCCUGGGAAACUGGGGACAAUACCGCAUAAGCUCGUGAGAGGAAAGCAGCAAUGCGCUGAAAGAGGAGUCCGCGGCUGAUUAGCUAGUUGGUGAGGUAACGGCCCACCAAGGCGAAGAUCGGUAGCCGGCCUGAGAGGGCACACGGCCACACU